rnacentral:rRNA from 1 species
GACGAACGCUGGCGGCGCGCCUAACACAUGCAAGUCGAACGGGAUCUAUUAGGAGCUUGCUCUUGGCAGAUCUAGUGGCGGACGGGUGAGUAACACGUGAGCAACCUACCGGGGAGUGGGGGAUAACGUCUGGAAACGGACGCUAAUACCGCAUGACAUUGGGGGAAGGCAUCUUCUCCCAAUCAAAGGAGCAAUUCGCUCCCUGAUGGGCUCGCGUCCGAUUAGAUAGUUGGCGGGGUAACGGCCCACCAAGUCUGCGAUCGGUAGCCGGACUGAGAGGUGGAUCGGCCACAUUGGGACUGAGACACGGCCCAGACUCCUACGGGAGGCAGCAGUGGGGAAUAUUGGGCAAUGGGCGCAAGCCUGACCCAGCAACGCCGCGUGAAGGAAGAAGGCUUUCGGGUUGUAAACUUCUUUGACCAGGGAAGAAACAAAUGACGGUACCUGGAAAACAAGCCACGGCUAACUACGUGCCAGCCGCCGC